CUCAAAACAAUAAGGUUCAGGUCCGCUUGUCUCCUCCAAAUAGACUUGGUCCCUUUCUUCUCGAGUGUCUGGGUAAGGAGGGGGAGAAACGUCCUCCACUUCUAAUAACUGCUCAGAGUGAAGGGAGCUAGCAUCGUCUAGUUAGCCGUCGUCUUCGUCACUGCCGCGGCUCCGCCCUCUCGGUCCUCCAGGCAACGCCUACCAAUGUUGCAGUUUUUAAAAUUGAUACGUGGGUGGGGUAAGACUCUGAGGCACACUUGACAUGCACUUUAAUAAUCAGGUGAUUGAUCUGUGAAAUAAAGAUGUCAUGAGUUAUGUGUUUAAUGAAUAAACAGGACUGCACCAGACAGACUGAUCUACAUUACCAUGGAAAGGCAUGACACAUUGUUUUCAACCAAUCAGAACUUUUGUCUGUCGUAGGGCAGAAUCUGGGUUGUUUAAUAAAAGUUGUCCAAUCCGGUUUACUAAGAUUUGUAAACAACUAGGGGAUAUAAAACAAGGCAACGCUAUUUUAUACUCAGUUCCAUUUUAACCUCAGUUCUGUUCAAUUGGAGGUCCUAAGGAUUUCCAUCGUCAUCAUUAAGAAAGUUACAGGCUGGCCAGCUGUACUUUCCUAUUUUAAGCUGAGAACUGUCAAGCUGGAAAUUUCUGUCGUUUGAACAACAAGACGACGGUUCCUUCACAAUAAGAGCUGAACCCGCCGAGAUCUGCUACUACUACCGGAGCUAUCCGUAGACUGGUUUGUCGUGCUGCACCACUGUUUCAUCAGCCCAGCACCAAAGGGGGUUCUAGGACCUGACACUCCUGAUCUGACCGCGGGAGACUCCAUAGGGUCACAGGGGGCUGGUGCCUAUCGCUAGCAGUCUCCAGGCAAACAGGUGGGGCACACCCUGGACAGGUUGCCAGUCCAUCACAGGGCAACACAGAGACACACAGGAAAAACAACCUGACAGUCAUGUUUUUGGACCGUGCGAGGAAGCCGGAGUACCAGGAGAGAACCCACACGUGCAAAGAGAGAACAUGCAAACUCUUCGCAGAAAGAUUCCACGAUUUGAACCUAGGAUGUUCUUGUUUUUAGGCUAACAGCACUAACCACUGUGCAGCUUUGUUUUUUGAACCAUUAAGGAUUUAUGUUGCCUUGUUUGGCUGCAAACCUUCACAAACGUACUUUCCUGUUGUUUACCUUAUUGAAACAAACACUCACACUUUCAAUCACAUCCUGCUUCUUUGUGGGUUCAGGGUUUUAACGAAGGAAUAAAGCUUUGCCUGGUUGUGUUAUUUUCAAAAUCAAUUGCUUUACAAACACUUCUCAUGACUUUUAGAAGUGCUUUUCCUCAUGCUGUACACUAGAUGGAGCUUGACACCUAAUCAUGGAUUCUGCAGAGAGAAAAGCUGAGCAGAUGAGUCACUUGCAAGAUAGAAACCUUCAUGGAGAUUUUGGAACAACAUGAUUGCUAAAGCUGGAAUCAUUGUCAUGCAAAUAUUGUGAAAAAACAAAGAGAAGAAGUCCAGAACUUAGAUUAGAUCGUUUAAGUAGGAGAACACUUUAUACAAACAAGACUGUUGAACCGUGAGAUCAGCCUUCACGGUGUUAAAUGUUCCUCUGAGACUGAAUCUGCACAGACAGACCUUAGAAAGGCAUCAUGACCUUCACACUCUGGGAUACUUCUGGGAAGUGCUGCACAAGUCUGCAAAAGGUGGAAAAGAUGCUUUUACUGUGAACAGGGAAGAAAUAUUAAACAGAAAGAGAAAGUCAUUCAUCAGAGAUCAUUUCAGCUGGAUUGGACCAUCUUUUUUGUCUUUGAUGCAAUGAAAAUUGCCACGAAAUGCUUUAAAACUGUGCACAUCUAAGGUGAUUGAUGAUGUUAGUUCACCAGUGCAACACCCUGCAAUAAAAAAUGAGUUUUCUUG